rnacentral:rRNA from 1 species
GACGAACGCUGGCGGCGUGCUUAACACAUGCAAGUCGAACGGAAAGGCCCUGCUUUUGUGGGGUGCUCGAGUGGCGAACGGGUGAGUAACACGUGAGUAACCUGCCCUUGACUUUGGGAUAACUUCAGGAAACUGGGGCUAAUACCGGAUAGGAGCUCCUGCAGCAUGGUGGGGGUUGGAAAGUUUCGGCGGUUGGGGAUGGACUCGCGGCUUAUCAGCUUGUUGGUGGGGUAGUGGCUUACCAAGGCUUUGACGGGUAGCCGGCCUGAGAGGGUGACCGGCCACAUUGGGACUGAGAUACGGCCCAGACUCCUACGGGAGGCAGCAGUGGGGAAUAUUGCACAAUGGGCGGAAGCCUGAUGCAGCAACGCCGCGUGCGGGAUGACGGCCUUCGGGUUGUAAACCGCUUUCGCCUGUGACGAAGCGUGAGUGACGGUAAUGGGUAAAGAAGCACCGGCUAACUACGUG